rnacentral:rRNA from 1 species
UACGGAGGGUGCGAGCGUUAAUCGGAAUUACUGGGCGUAAAGAGUGCGUAGGUGGUUUGAUAAGUUAGCUGUGAAAUCCCUGGGCUUAACCUGGGAAGGUCAGCUAAUACUGUUAGACUCGAGUAUGGGAGAGGGUAGUGGAAUUUCCGGUGUAGCGGUGAAAUGCGUAGAUAUCGGAAGGAACACCGGUGGCGAAGGCGGCUGCCUGGCCUAAUACUGACACUGAGGCACGAAAGCGUGGGGAGCAAACAGG